AGCUUCUGGGAGGAGCUGUUCCGAGAGGCGAAUCAGAUAUGAAACACGUUCGAAUCAUUGCUUCCGUUUGCCAGUAGUGCGGGGGAACGUCGCCACCGAGGUCCGGAUGAUUAAACUUUGUGUCGAACACGAGUGACAUGCUAAAACAAACUCUGGAGCUGUUUUUUGUCGAACAUGGGUGAGAUUGGACGCUGAGCACACCUGCGGCGGCGAAGCUAAUGCUAGGAGCCUCGCCGCCGCGCUCAGCGUGCAAUCUCAUUAAUGGCAAGUGUUAGCAUUAGCCUUAGCGUUUAAGGAUGUUUGUUGGCGGUGUUCCCUUUUUGGCGUCUUUUUUGUUUGGGUUGAAGUGUAAUUUUGUUUCUGUGGCUCAGGCAACUGUUUGCAUGUCUGUACUGUUACUAGCAUACCGUAGCAAUUUACAGAUUCUUUGUAGUUUGUAGCUCCAGCUUGGUCAUUUUAAGUCAGUUUAUGGUGGAUUAUCGUCGUCACGUUUCUUCUAGUUGCGGGUCUAGCGGUUUUCAGUGUGGCACUAUUCUAUCGAUAGUUAUUCAUUGAUCCCUUCACCAUUUGUUUGUGGUGAAGAUGUCAGUGUCGACUUAAUUCUUAGAUGAAGAGCGCACGUUAAUUCUGUCGGCUUACGAGGAAUUUAACGACACAAUGUAAAACCGCAGCUGUCAACAAAGCCAGGAAGACUUAUCACAUGUUCUCUGGAUUCUUAAUCUGUAAUAUGAGGUGUCUCCACUUCGUCCACGAUCAGAGAAUCUUUGAACAAUGAAGGAAUUGUUUAGACCAGGACAGAGGCCUCCAGAAUUCAAAGUUCAACCAUUAAAUCACAGAGACAUGAAGAUGUUUCCAGAAGGUGCAGUAAAAGAACAGAAAGAAUCCCUUUUGUAAAUGAGACCCACUGAAAUCAACAGUGCUGCGUUUGGGGGAAUUCAUUUAUAUGGUGUGUCCAUGAUCACAGAGAGUGUUUGUGCAAUGGAGAAGUUCUUUGAGAGUGGGACAGAGGCCUCCACGUAAUUCAGCAGCUGCUUUACAUCAAGUGUCCCAAGAUAGAGUACUGACAUUGUUUAUGUUCAGUAUUCAUUGUAUUAAAAGUAAUAGUAUAAGUUUUGAGUGUGUUUUCAAAUUAAUAUAACAAUUGUGAUGUUGUGUAGUAAAUAAUAUUUAAGACAGUGUCAAAAUAUUGUCACAAUGUUGCUGUACAUUUUUGGUGUAGUGUUUUGUUUUAUCAAUGUUAUUUAGUAUUAUUUUUGUUUCAUGUUUAUUUGUUUGUUUUGUUCAAAGUAUGUGAGUUUUUGUAUAUGUAUGGUUUACAUGUUUGAUUUGUUCUAUUUAUGCAUGUUCUGUUGUUAUUGUAUUUGUUUUAAUUUGUUGUUCCUCUCAACUGUCUUAAUGUGUUUUAUGUUCAUGUGAUCUUCCCAACUGUUUUAAUGCGUUGUUCCUCUCAACUGUCUUAAUUGUGUUCUCUGUACUGUUUUAAUGUGUUGUUGCAAGUGUUUUAUGUUCAUGUGUUCUUCCCAACUGUUUUCAUGCGUUGUUCCUGUCUUAAUAAAACAAUUUUUUCAUGGUU